AGCAUGAUUAAUCACUGCCAUUUGAAUUUUAAUAUUUAUUUUGUUUUAUCAGGAUAAUUUCUAGAAGUGCGUGUCUACUCUUCAUGGAGGACACAGGCUUCUGCAUGGAGUUUUAAAAUAUGUUGUGAUCAUCUAAUUGUGACCUGAGCUGCUGGGCUGCAUCGCAAAGGAAUGUUCACCUUUGUCUUCAUAUGUCAAUGAGCUGUGGGACAGUUGAGCAUACUGAAAAGCUAUCCCUGUACAAGGCCGGAUCCACACUGAUGCUUUGCCCCUUCUUGCCAAGGGACCACAUUGUUAGAAACAUUGGUUUGGGGUGUAUUUAUAACCAUAACACGGUGUGAGAUUUUUGUCGUGGUAUCUGAAGAUCUUGAAUGUGUGGUGCUUGCUGUGUUGCAUGCUUCUUCUGGUGCUGGGUUGCUGUCUCCUGUUUCUUCUUGUCUCACCAGGGUCCUCCUGAGCAGGGGUUUCGCAUUGGCUGAUCCAACCUUCCUAGACUGAGGAGAAUCCACCAAUUGUAUAGCAGUAUUUAAGAUCCAUUUUAAUAACUU